ensembl:lncRNA
UGUGCAGGAAAUACUUGUGCAAUGAAGAGAUAGGCUGGAAUCCUCUCUGUUCUCACCUCCAUGCCUUUACAACGUUAGUUUAUUUGAACCUCCUGACAACCCUUUGACACAGAUGCAGUUAUAAUCCUGUUUUACAAAUGAGGAGACAGAGACACAGCGAGGUCAUGAAGUCACCUGCCCAUGACCACAAGGCGAGUAGCAAGGAGGGAGACGGGAUGUGAACCCAGGCAGCCUGGCACUUGAGUCAGAGUGGGUCCCCUGGUUCGGGGGGCAGUUACCUUGUCCGAGAUGGGAGAGAGAUCUAAAGGUUGCCCCAACUUUUCUUUUUCAAAUAUCAAAGUCGUGUACACCAUGGCAGUGACUGAGCUGCAGCAACUGUACUGGAUUCUUCAGGUGGAAGAGGUUGAUUAUGACACGGUGGUGGGGACACUGGAUUUUGAAAUGACUGAGGGCAAGAGGGAAGCAGCUGAGUUGGGAACCUCACAGCUGAGUGGGGAGUAGGACUCUGGGUAUUGAAUUCUAGGACAGUGAUUCACCAGGACACAGGGCAAGGAUCGUUCAAGUUCUAACUCAGUGCCAAGUAACUCCUUCUGCACUAUUAAACAAUGUUGAAUGACACUCUUUAACCACUUUUCCAUUUUAAACACUUUUAAACCCGGAGUGGGUGUAAUUUACCAGGACGGGAGCAGUAUGGAAGGCUUCCUGUGCCUGGCAGCCCUCAUGUGGAAUCUUGACCCACUUUUUCAGCCUGUCUUGGACAGUAAGAACACUCUUGGGGCCGGGAGACCUCUUCAAACCAAGUCAUGUUUCUCAGUGGGGAAAGAAAAAAAACCAAAACAACGUAAAAUGGUGCUGUUGACUGGGUGACACACCUGAGGUGAAGUCACUUUGAGUUGGACGAGGGCCUCCAGACAUAAUCCAGCCAGAUGAAGACAGAUGGCCUUCCCUGAAAGCCCAGUUUUGUGUCCCUUUUGGUCGGGAGCUGACAGUGUUCUUUGGGGGGUGUUGGGCCUCAACAGAAUCCGCUGAAUCCAAAUGACUCGGCAGAUAGGGAAGCACACACAUCAGCACAGCCGCUGUCCAGGAACCGGAGGAGGACGUGCCCUCGAGUGACGUGUGGGCCACCGCCCUGGUCAGCAGCCAGGGAGGGCCCUCAUUCUGCAGGUAUGGUGUUCUGAGUCGCCAGUGGUUUCUGCUGGGUAGGCGGUCGUGAAGUUUGUCUGGGGGCAGUUUUACAAUUCCAAUAAGGCCACGUGUGCUGCUGUCCUUUUCACAUCAGCUCACAUUCGGGGAUGGCCCGUCAGCAAAGCAAAACUUACACCUGUGACUGUUGUCCCACAGUUGUGUUCUAUUUAAAUAUCCUAGGAUAAAAUUUGGAAAACUUGGGCUAAAAUAAUCAACAUUGAAGUGAUUGAUCCAAUUGGCAUGUUAGCUUAAUUUCAGCAUCUUCUCUGAACGAGGGGUUUUGAUGGAAAGAGAAGCUGAUACCGUGAUUCAUUUGUUUUUAAAGCCUAUUAAGCUGGGAUAAUAUAGUGACCUCUCUGCUGCCCCAUUUUAUGACUCUUAGGGUUGUAGAGCUGGAUUCUGGACAUGACCUAUUGUAAUGGUUAAGUACAAGUAAGCAUCAGAAUGACCCAGGGUUUAUUGUAAAGUAACAGUAACAGGUACCUGAAUUGAAUCCCAGAGAUUCAGGUUCUUUAGAGCUGGGCCUGGGCUGGGCAUCUGUAUUUUAAACCAUCCUUGAGUGAUCCUGGUACCCACCUCCUCCUGGAGGCAGAACCAGCCCUGUAGUCUGUAGAUAAGAACAUCUGGGCAAGGUCGAAUGACUUGCCUCCAGCCGCUUCAGUGCCAUCUGAGAUUUUAUCACCAGAUAGUAUCUCGCUUCAGAAUUUUAUGGCUGGAAGAAAUUUUCCAGAGCAUCAGUUCCAUAGCUCCCUUUAUAGUUGUCUAUAAACCAUGGCUUGUUCGUACCAUUUGCAAGGAAGAUAUGAAUGCAGAGAAGUAGUGUUUUCUCACAGCCUGUCUUCUGCCCUGGCCAUGGUAAAGCUGAAAAUGUCAGUCACUAGAAUCUCCUUAUAGUUUUUAACUGAUAAGUUUUGUUAAUUUCAGGAACAAUCAGUCAUACCCUUUUUUAAAAUAUAGUUUAAGCUGAAGUGAAAGAUUAAAAUUUUUAUCUGAGUUACUUGUUUUUCAAUCUUAGUGUAACUGCGUGAGACUUUUCAGUACUUUAUCAGAGUGUUUUUGUUUUUAAAAUUAGGUUGAUUUUUUUUUUUAACUUUUUUUUUUUUUUUUUUUUUCCCCU